UACGAAGGGGGCUAGCGUUGCUCGGAAUCACUGGGCGUAAAGGGUGCGUAGGCGGAUCGCUAAGUCAGGGGUGAAAUCCCAGGGCUCAACCCUGGAACUGCCUUUGAUACUGACGAUCUGGAGAUCGGGAGAGGUUGGUGGAAUUCCGAGUGUAGAGGUGAAAUUCGUAGAUAUUCGGAGGAACACCAGAAGCGAAGGCGGCCAACUGGCCCGAUACUGACGCUGAGGCGCGAAAGCGUGGGGAGCAAACAGG
rnacentral:rRNA from 1 species